UUUAGUGACUUGCUUCUAGAGAAUAGAAUGCAGUAGAGUUGAUGGGAUGUCACUUUUGAUAUUAGUAUAUAAAAAGGCUGUGCACUCUCUCUUGCCUUCUCACUUGCUUUGAGGGAAGCCCACUGCCAUGUUGCAAGCUGCCCUGUGAAGAGGCCUCCAUGACAAAGAACUGUAGGGUCCCCUGGACAACAGCCAGCAAGGCAAUGAGACCCUUAGUCCAAUAGCCCACGAGGAACUGAAUCUUGCCAAGAACCACAUGGAUGAGGUUGCAAGUAGGUCCUUCCCAAGUGUACCCUGGACGACAUUGUUACAUGUGCUUUCCCAAAUCCACGGACUUCUGGCUGAUCCGGGGUUGCAAUAUGCACUGCACCACCAUCCUCUCUCUUGGAAAUUCCCUUCGGCUGGGAAAGAAAUGGAUGAUCAAGGUCAGUGGUUUCCAACCAGGCUGAACAUCAGAAUCCACAGGAAUGAUGCUAAGCCCCAUUUCACCUCUGAGACUUUCAGGUUCAAGCGUCUGGAAUGGGGCCACAGAUCUGAAUUUUUAAAGAAGGGUUCUGGUUGACUCUGACAGUUACAUUAAAUGAGUAUAUUUUGGAACCACCAGGCUGAGUGGCCUUAAAAUUUUCUUCAAGAACUAAGGCUCCAGGGCAGGAGGGUACUAGGGAAACUGCCUGGCCACCUGACCCUUCUCUGAUCUCCUCACUCUCUCAGGUGACCCCUUCCUGGACCUAGCAUCCCUCAACUUUUCUGACUUCCCUGGACCAGGCUGGGAACUCACAUUCUCUUCUAGAGAAUAGAAUGCAAUAGAGUUGAUGGGAUGUCACUUUUGAUAUUAGUAUGUAAAAAGGCUGUGCACUCUCUCUUGCCUUCUCACUUGCUUUGAGGGAAGCCCACUGCCAUGUUGCAAGUUGCCCUGUGAAGAGGCCUCCAUGACAAGGAACUGUAGGGUCCCCUGGACAACAGCCAGCAAGGCAAUGAGACCCUUAGUCUCAUCAAUAGUCUACGAGGAACUGAAUCUUGCAAGAACCACAUGGAUGAGGUUGCAAGGUCCAAUUAGAUAAACUCAUCCUCGCUGGCAGAUAAUGGCACCAAUGUGAUCAUCCUCCUAGAGGUAUUUUCAUCUUGGUAUGGAGCCUCCAGAGCUAUCUUUGCUUGAAAGAAUGAAACUUCAGGAAUGAAAGUUUGCACAUAAAGCAAGCCCAUGAGAAAGACAUUUCGGGAAAACUAGAAUCCUGUUAAGUUAUGGGAUUUUUUUCAAGCCACAUGGUUGAUAAGUAGUCUGACCAGGAUCCUGGAGCAACACAAGGAAGACAAGGACCCUUGAAGACAAGGCAGCCUUGAAACCAAAUGAAGCCCUGGGCCAGCUGGAGUGCAAUGACAUGAUUAUGGACCUUCAGGGAUUGAGCAGCUCGACAUCCCAAGGAUCAAGCAAUCCUCCGGCCUCAGCCUACCAAGUAGCUGGGACUACAGCCAUUUGACACCCCACCCAGUUAAUUUUUGUUUUUUGUUUUUUUGUAAAGACAAGGUUUAGCCAUGUUGCCCAGGCUGGUCUGGAACCCCUGGGUUCAAGCAAUCCUCCCACCUCAGCUUCCCAAAGUGCUGGGAUUAUAGGCAUAAGCCACUGCACCCAGCAUAAAUAAUCUCUUAUUUGUUCAUCCAUGGUGUUGUCUUUAGUUUUUAAAAAUGGAUCCUUUUGUUAUUCUUUUAUAGCCCCAGAUUAAGAAUUUGUCCAAGUUUUGUAUAUUUUUUCAGUUAUUUCAAUAUCAAAGCCCAGCACAUCUUUAAAAUCACUUCUAUGUAUAGAUAUUAACCUUUUUGACAUUUGUGUUUUGGUAUUCCAUAUUUACUCAGUUCUCCUUUCACACCCUCCCUUUAGAAGAGGAGUAUGACCAUGGCAGGAUGGAGGGGUAGUGGCAGUAGGGGCCAUAGUAUGUUUUCUAUAUUUAUCCAGCAUAUUUAAAACAUGGUAUUCUAGCUUCAAGGGAGAACAUUGAACUCCCAUUUGGACAUGUUAAGUUGAAGAUGUCUGUUAGACACCCAAGAGAAUAUGUCAAGCAGAUAUCAUCUGCCCUUGUUUUUCCUUUUCCAAACUGGCUCUCCUUAGUUCCAUCUCCAGAUGACAUGGUCCUCAAACCCUUUGUGAUCUUGGUUCUCUACUCCAGUUCUUCAAUGUUUUUCUUGAAUGUGGCACCCAGAAUUAAAUAGAGCACCCCAGAUAAUGGCUGCCCAGCAGGAUAGACAUGUGUUUGUUAUAUAAUUCUUAGAGACUAUAGCUGACGUCACUGGUGCCCAGCCCAUAUCUUCUUGAGCCCUAGCAUUUUCGUGCAUGGUGGCCUGAUUUCUAACUGUCAGCACCUAAAUAUCUUUGCCUGAGGACUUUCUCUGUCGGCCAGAGCCUGCUUUGUGCACAGUCAGAAGUGCCAAGGAGUCAACACUCCCCAAAGGAGUCUUCAGCCAGUAACGAAAUGAAAGGUGGAGUAUAAAAACCCCAGCUCCCUCACCACUCAGCUGGGGUAGCCCUGAGAUUCAUGCUCUCCACCCUCUUCAGAGUUUCCCGGCAGCAUCAUGUUCCUGUUACCCUUCUCACUACUGACUUGAUGCUCAUCCUUUCUUGGCUCCUUCCCUGUGUCACUUCCCCCAUCCCAUAUGGGAGAAGGCUUCCUGGGUUCACCUUCCAAAGUAAUUACUGGUACUGGAAUUCUCAUCUCAAGUUUUGCCUUAGGGUCACCCAAACUAAGACAGUGCCUAAUGCUGCAUCAGCUUUCUUACCAGUCACAUGAUGCUGUUGUAUCCUUAAUGUCAGAUAAACUCCCAGCUUCUUUUUAUGUCAACUGCUACCAAGCCACACAUUCUCAGUGCUGUGCCUUUGUUAUUGAUUUUUUAACCUAAACUCAGAGUUUAUGUUUAUUCCUGUUAUACUCUUAAGUUUUUUUCCAUAUUCCAACCUAACAGAAUAACUUUGAAUAUUGAUUUGUUCUUUCGUUGUGUUAACUAUCCCUUCCAGACAUGAGUCAUAUGUAGAAAUCUGAUAAGCAUGUUUCCUGUGCCUUCAUUCACUUAAAACAAACAAACAAACAAACUUUGAACAAGGUAGGGUUAGGAAAAGAAUUCUAAACUCAAUUCCUCCCAUUGUUCAAUAAUCAAGAUUCUUUCAGUAAGAAUGCUUAUUGGUAGUGAUUCAAACUAUCUGCACCAGUUCAACCCAGAAUUUACAAAUUUGCCCAUAGGAAUAUCAGGCAAGCUCAGCUCAGUUGCUUUGCUAGAAUAGAGAAGAUCCACAAUUAUGUCAUGCCUCUGAUACAUGAGCCUAUAACCUUAUCAGAAAGGAAAUAUGGUUCAUUUGGCUUGUUAUUAGCAAUUUUAUUUUAACCACUAAGAACCUCUGAAUUCAUUUCUAAAACCCUCCAAUCUUCCUUUUAUUUUCUUUUAUUUAUAUAUAUAUAUUUUUAUUUUAUUUUACUUUAUUUUUGAGACAGAGUCUCACUCUGUCACCAGGCUGGAGUGCAGUGGCAUGAUCUCGGCUCACUGCAACCUCUGCAUCCCGGGUUCAAGCAAUUCCUCUGCCUCAGCCUCCCAAGUAGCUGGGAAUACAGGUGCACACCACCAUGCCCAGCUAAUUUUUGUAUUUUUAGUAGAGAUGGUGUUUCACCAUGUUGGCCAGGAUGGUCUCGAUCUCUUGACCUUGUGAUCUGCCCACCUCGGCCUCCCAAAGUGCUGGGAUUACAGGCGUGAGCCAUCACGCCUGGCCUCCAAUCUUCCUUUUAAUAAUUUGAUCUGGAAUUUUAUCAGGGAGCUAUGCAUGCAUGUCAGGGGAGAUCAAGUUUAUGGUUUCCAGAAUCUACACUUUCUUUUUGAGAAUGGGAACUUUUGCCAGUACAUUGUUUUCCUAUCCUCAUUUCCAUAAUUUCUCAACAACAGUAAGUAGUUUUAAGGUCACAUUUGCAAGUUUUUUGAGGAGCCUGGGAUGUAACUUUUCUGGAGACUUCAACCUACUUUAAAUGGUCACAUGCCCCCUGUGUCCCUCACUGCCUCCCUUCUGCUGAGCUCUCCCCAGUCCUGGGAAGGCUGAUUCUUUAGCUAGAGAACCCAGACCAGCCCUGUGGCCUCAUAUUUCCACAUCAGCCUUCUUGAAUCUGUGUUCCUCCCCCCUCACUUAUCUUUUUACAUCAAACACAUGGCUCAAAGCUUUUGAUAUUUGACUUGACUCUUCAGGACCCCAAGCUCCUCUGACUCAGCCCUCCACCCCCCACCCCUAACCCACGGCCCACUCUGCUUGAGGGCUCCCCAAAACCUCAAACUCCACCGUAAGCUCCCUGAGCAGCCACAAGGAUUUUGGGGUUUGGUUUGGUUUUGCCUCUUACUCCCUUUUCAUUUUCCCUGGCAUCAUUCACAUUCACCAAUCAGAUUCAUUUUUAUCAUCUCCUAUUCCUCAUGAGAAAUACAUUUUUUUAUAACCUUUUACCUUGAAUUCAAAUCCAUUUUUCCUCUGAAGCACCUGAGGUGAGGUGGGUAUCUCCUCUUGUCCUAAUCUUAUCCACAUGCCAUGAUAUGGUUUGUCUGUGUCCCUACCCAAAUCUCAUCUUGAAUCAUAGCUCCUGUAAUCCCCAUGUGUUGUGGGAAGAACCUGGUGGGAGGUAAUUGAAUCAGAGGGGUGGGUUUUUCCCAUGCUGUUCUUGUGAUAAUGAAUAAGUUUCAUGAGAUCUGAUGGUUUUAUAAAGGCGAGUUCCCCUGCAAAAUGCUCUCUUUCCUGCCACCAUGUAAGAUGUGACUUUGCUUCUCCUUUGCUUCCACCAUGAUUGUGAGUCCUCCCCAGCCAUGUGGAACUGUGAGUCAAUUAAACCUCUUUCCUUUAUAAAUUACCCAGUCUCAGAUAUGUCUUUAUUAGCAGCAUCAAAACAGACUAAUACACACCACCAGUUUUCCUCCUGCAUGUUCCUCAGUUCUGCUAGAACUGUAAAAAGAUGGAUUCCAUAGACUGGAGUCACCCUGAGGGCAGGGAUGGACCCCUAU
rnacentral:lncRNA from 10 species